CGGGACGGGGUGGAGUAAUGUCUGGGAAACUGCCUGAUGGAGGGGGGUAACUACUGGAAACGGGAGCUAAUACCGCAUAACGUCGCAAGACCAAAGAGGGGGACCUUCGGGCCUCUUGCCAUCGGAUGUGCCCAGAUGGGAUUAGCUAGUAGGUGGGGUAACGGCUCACCUAGGCGACGAUCCCUAGCUGGUCUGAGAGGAUGGCCAGCCACACUGGAACUGAGACACGGUCCAG
rnacentral:rRNA from 1 species